rnacentral:rRNA from 1 species
UACGAAGGGGCGAGCGUUGUUCGGAUUUACUGGGCGUAAAGGGCGCGUAGGCGCUUGUCAGUCAGGCGUGAAAGCCCGGGCUCAACCUGGGAACGGCGCUUGGGACGGCGAGGCUGGAGUUCGGGAGAGGAGAGUGGAAUUCCCAGUGUAGAGGUGAAAUUCGUAGAUAAUCGGGAGGAACACCUAUGGGCGAAGGCAGCUCGCUGGGACGUUACUGACGCUGAGACGCGGAAAGCGUGGGGAGCAAACAGG